rnacentral:rRNA from 1 species
GAUGAACGCUGGCGGCGUGCCUAAUACAUGCAAGUCGAGCGAACGGACGAGAAGCUUGCUUCUCUGAUGUUAGCGGCGGACGGGUGAGUAGCACGUGGAUAACCUACCUAUAAGACUGGGAUAACUUCGGGAAACCGGAGCUAAUACCGGAUGAUAUUUUGAACCGCAUGGUUCAAAAGUGAAAGACGGUCUUGCUGUCACUUAUAGAUGGAUCCGCGCUGCAUUAGCUAGUUGGUAAGGUAACGGCUUACCAAGGCAACGAUGCAUAGCCGACCUGAGAGGGUGAUCGGCCACACUGGAACUGAGACACGGUCCAGACUCCUACGGGAGGCAGCAGUAGGGAAUCUUCCGCAAUGGGCGAAAGCCUGACGGAGCAACGCCGCGUGAGUGAUGAAGGUCUUCGGAUCGUAAAACUCUGUUAUUAGGGAAGAACAUAUGUGUAAGUAACUGUGCACAUCUUGACGGUACCUAAUCAGAAAGCCACGGCUAACUACGUG